rnacentral:misc_RNA from 1 species
UAAAAUUCGACCCAACACGAGCCAUUGCUUAAAAUCUGAAAUUAUUAACAACAAACAUAAUACAUGAUGCCAACUGAUCAAGCGACAGCCUGACCGAAAAGCCUUUUCCUGAUCUCUGGCAGUUUCUUCCGGAAGACAACAUCGAGCCUCGCAUCAAGGGUGUUUUCACAGACUAUCUUUCCGUCUCGAGAAGCCAACACAACGCCUCCGGCACAGAAAAGCCCAUGCUCAUGAUGAUGACUAGGCUUGGGUGGCAGGUAAACAUCUCUGUCCACUAAAAUCUCAGGAGGAUGAACAUUUGCUUUCUCUGCAUA